CCAAGCUUGAAUUCGUAGUCAUAUGCUUGUCUCAAAGAUUAAGCCAUGCAUGUCUAAGUAUAAGCGUUAUACAAAGUGAAACUGCGAAUGGCUCAUUAAAUCAGUUAUAGUUUAUUUGAUGAAGAAAAGCUACAUGGAUAACUGUGGUAAAUCUAGAGCUAAUACAUGCCUUGUAAUGCCCCGACUUCGGAAGGGGUGCAUUUAUUAGAUUAAAUCCAACGCCUUCGGGCCUUGGGGAGUCAUAAUAACUUCACCAAUCGCAUGGGCUUGCCCCGGCGAUGCUUCAUUCAAAUAUCUGCCCUAUCAACUUUGAUGGUACGGUAGUGGCCUACCAUGGUUGCAACGGGUAACGGGGAAUAAGGGUUCGAUUCCGGAGAGGGAGCCUGAGAAACGGCUACCACAUCCAAGGAAGGCAGCAGGCGCGCAAAUUAUCCAAUCCCGACACGGGGAGAUAGUGACAAAAAAUAACGAUACAGGGCUUUUUAAAGGUCUUGUAAUUGGAAUGAGUACAAUUUAAAUCCCUUAACGAGGAACAAUUGGAGGGCAAGUUUGGUGCCAGCAGCCGCGGUAAUUCCAACUCCAAUAGCGUAUAUUAAAGUUGUUGCAGUUAAAAAGCUCGUAGUUGAAUUUGGGCCCCGGUUGGGUGGUCCGCCGCAAGGCGUGUACUGCUUUUUAAGCUGGGGCUUACACCCAUUGGUGAACCUUGGUGGGUCUUUGGCCCGCUAAGGGGAACCAGGGAAUUUACUUUGAAAAAAUUAGAGUGUUCAAAGCAGGCCUAACGGCUCGAAUAGAUUAGCAUGGAAUAAGGGAAUAGGACGUUGCGAUCCUGUUUCGUUGGUUUUAAGGAUCGCCGUAAUGAUCAAUAGGGACAGCUCGGGGGCAUUAGUAUUCACAAGCUAGAGGUGAAAUUCUUGGAUUUUGUGAAGACUAACUUCUGCGAAAGCAUUUGCCAAGGAUGUUUUCAUUAAUCAAGAACGAAGGUUAGGGGAUCGAAAACGAUUAGAUACCGUUGUAGUCUUAACAGUAAACUAUGCCAGCUAGGGAUCGGUCGGCGCUUUAAUACACUAUGGCCCGAUCGGCACCUUUGCGAGAAAUCAAAGCAUUUGGGUUCUGGGGGGAGUAUGGUCGCAAGGCUGAAACUUAAAGAAAUUGACGGAAGGGCACCACCAGGAGUGGAGCCUGCGGCUUAAUUUG
rnacentral:rRNA from 1 species